rnacentral:lncRNA from 1 species
GAGGAACGGCCCGUGGGGAGCCAGCCGGGUCCGGCCUCGUCUGGGGAACCCGGCGCAGGGGGAGCGUCGGAGCCUGGGCUACCCCCGCCCUCCGGCCAGAGCGAGCACCAAGCCCCCUCCCCAGACACAGACAAAAGGACCGACAGCGGGCGAACAAGGGAGAGAGCGGGGAGCCCCUGCAUCCUCAGCCUAGCCCCGGAGGAAAGGAGACGGGGGUCUUUUUACCCGGAGCCUCGGCGCACCGCGGCGCGCCGCGUCCCUGGGCCCCGCCUCCGGACAGACGGACCGCCGGACAAUGGGCCCCGGGCCGCAGCUCGGGCCGGCUGGGCCGGGGCUCUCCGGGACUGAGCCCCGGCAGGCGGAGGGCGGUUUCGGGCCGAGCCGGUGGCGGGGAGCCGAGGGGCGGCGCUGCAGACGGACAAAGCCAACGGCAGACAGACAGACGGAGGGGGAAAAGAUGGCGACGCGGGCGGCGGGAGCGCGCUGCUCGCGCACCCGCAAACGCCUAAGCUUGCCUCUGACAGAGCUUACUUGAAGUAGGGAAUGCGGUGAAAAGCAGAUGGGAUCUGGUAAGAGCAGAUCUAGCCUGGAGUCCCAGCUCUGCCACUGACCAGCCUGGUGGCUUUGGACAAGUCCCUAUUCUGAACCUCUGCUUCCUGAAAUGUAAAAUGGAUAAUAAGGUAAUAAUUCCUAACCUCUAUUCUCAUAGGGUUGUUGUAAUCAUAGGAUUAAGUAAAAUGAAGAUAUGAAAGUAUUGUGUAAGUAGUUCUUGUGCUUCCUGGCCCCAGGAAGGCAGCAGAGCUAAUGUUUUUAAAGCAACAAGGCCUGGUAUUUGCAUAAAGGACUCUUGCAAAAUGUUCUUCCCAUAAAUCUCCAGUGAGAUGAUAUCAUUGUCUGCAUCUUGUGUUUAAUGUGAGAGAAUGGCUGUAUUGAAAGAACUUCGUACUUCACAAGUGUGUAGUAAAUAGUUUCAUUCAUUCAUUUAUUGUGGCUGGGAUAUUUAAGUAGAAAUUAUUCUUUAAUUUCAUUUAAGGAGACAUUUUAAUUCCUAAGUAGCCAGAAAAUGGAAUAUUCUCAUCUAACCAGAAGGUUUUUAGACAGUUUCAUAUCAGAAUGCAAGCUGAAGGAAUGCCUGGGUGGCUCAGUUGGUCAAGCAUCUGACUCCUGAUUUCAGCUCAGGUCAUGAUCUCACACCGUUCAUGAGUUCAAGCCCUGCAUUGGACUCUGAGCUG